CGGUCAAUUCGCGGCGUAGCCGCUGCCCCAACUCCUGCCCCAUUCUGGUCCCGCCCCUCUCCCGCCUUUUCGCUGGGAAGGGUAUCACCUUUCUCUGGCCCCGCCCCUGACGGUUCCGGGCCCCGCGAAGCUUAGUCCCUUCUUUGUCAAGCCAGGACCCGCCCACGGUCUAUUCAUAGGGUCCCAAACCACUUUGGCCACAACACCCCCAGACUGGUCCGAAGCCUCGUGAGUUCGCCCUGGUCGUUGCACUCCAGCCUGUCGCUGUGCAGACCUGGCUUAGAGGACCCCUAAGGCUGAGGGGUCACUUCCAGAACUGAGUCCGGUCCGCAGGUUCUGCUACGCUCCAGCCAGCCCCUAACUGGUCCCCAGAAGCGGCGCUGCUACAGGGACCAGGAGCUGCUGCGAACUGCGCUGGCGGGGGCUCGUCCUUGGGCGCGGGGCUUCAUCAUGGACACGCUCUCGGCCCAGGCCGCGAAACAAGCCCGCGUGACUGGCGGAGGCACAGAGACCAAGGCCGCUUAACCUGGCUGGUUGCACUGGUCCCUGGAGAGAGGGCGUCCCCUGCAGGAGAGCUUCAUGCGCCUGGUGGAGGCCUGUGGGGACUCGGAGCAAAGCAUGGACAACUGGCUGAGUCGGCUGGACGGCUGCCGCUGACUGUAACAUGUAAAGCAGGCACUGAGCACCACCUGCCUGGCAGUCCAGGGCAUGGAGAGAUGCCGUGUGAAGGGAGGACUCAGAUGCACUCCCUGUGGUCUGGGCUCAACCAGCCAAAAGAGCAACAAAGACUCCAGAACCCACUCUACCUCCUCAAUCCCUUGGCCAUCUGUGGAGCCCCAGAGCCUGCGGCUGUGGCAAGGCCUGUUUCUGCGCUGGACCUGCUCACCUGAGCCUGCAGAAGCUGCAUGGGGGAAGAGUGUGGCAAAUAGUGACAGGAAGGGAGAAGACAGAAGCCUCUCAGCCAACUGCUUCAGCCGAGCCCCUAUUCUAAGCACUGGCUCCUUGGAUAGCAGCUGAGAUGUUCCUGAAACCUCUGCAGGCCCCUUAGGACCUUUACACCUUGGAUGAGGGUGCCUGCAACCCAGGUUAGCCAAAAGUACUGAGGGUCUUAAGUUUGAAGUGUCCAAAGUAUAGGGAGGUCUCAAUAAUAAAAGUCUCCAUGAUCAGCAUCAG
rnacentral:lncRNA from 1 species